AUAGCAUAUUGCAAAUUUAUUGUGACUUGCUGUUGGUGUUGGCUGGCGUUGUGGAAGACGUGGAUCUGAAAUGUAAGUCUUGAACUCCCCAAUAAGGCUUGCACGGUUGCACGUGUAUAUAUGCAUGAGCAAUUAUUGGACCAGCGGCGGAUGAAAACAUAGACGACAAUAAGUUUGUUAUGUCUUAGUUUAAAUACUGCUUUUUUAUUUAAGCAAUAUAAAAAAAAAAUAAUUUUUAAGUUAAA